GCCGGUUUGGCUCAGUGGAUAGAGCGUCAGCCUGCAGACUGAAGGGUCCCGGGUUCAAUUCCCGUCAAGGGCA
rnacentral:tRNA from 1 species